rnacentral:rRNA from 1 species
AUGAACGCUGGCGGCGUGCCUAAUACCUGCAAGUCGCGCGAACAGACGAGGAGCUUGCUCCUCUGACGUUAGCGGCGGACGGGUGAGUAACACGUGGAUAACCUACCUAUAAGACUGGGAUAACUUCGGGAAACCGGAGCUAAUACCGGAUAAUAUAUUGAACCGCAUGGUUCAAUAGUGAAAGACGGUUUUGCUGUCACUUAUAGAUGGAUCCGCGCCGCAUUAGCUAGUUGGUAAGGUAACGGCUUACCAAGGCGACGAUGCGUAGCCGACCUGAGAGGGUGAUCGGCCACACUGGAACUGAGACACGGUCCAGACUCCUACGGGAGGCAGCAGUAGGGAAUCUUCCGCAAUGGGCGAAAGCCUGACGGAGCAACGCCGCGUGAGUGAUGAAGGUCUUCGGAUCGUAAAACUCUGUUAUUAGGGAAGAACAAAUGUGUAAGUAACUAUGCACGUCUUGACGGUACCUAAUCAGAAAGCCACGGCUAACUACGUG